rnacentral:misc_RNA from 1 species
AGCAAAUCUGCGGUCGAGGAUGCUAUCAUCUUUCUCUCGUUUAAAACUGGAAAAGUAAGACUGAGUUUUCGAUACCAAGAUUUGAAGAAAAAUCCAACAACUCAUGAUUUGCAUUUCAGUUUCGCCAUGGGAUCAGAGGUGCUUAUUUGAGCUUGGCCAUUUAAUUUUUAUCUGCGAGUCUAGAUGAUGGAUGUAUGAUUUGCAUUUCAGUUUCGCCAUGGGAUCAGAGGUGCUUAUUUGAGCUUGGCCAUUUAAUUUUUAUCUGCGAGUCUAGAUGAUGGAUGU